rnacentral:lncRNA from 1 species
UAAGUCGUUCACAGAUGCACGUUAGUUAAAACUCUCUCCCUUCAUUGUUCGUGAACAGAUCGAGAGUAGGCCUAUUGUUGAUGAGGCAAGCAGUCAGAACAGUCCAGAACUAGAGGGUAAAGAGCUCCCUGAGCAUACUAUCUUGUGAUGUCAGCCUCAUUA